CUGAGUUGCGCGGGGCCCGGCGGCGCUGCCCAUGGGGGAGAGCGGGGUGCCCCCCCAGGUCCAGCUCUUCCUCCGCGCCUGCGAGCAGGGCGACUGCGAGACCGCCCGGCGCCUCUUGGGGCUGCCCGGCGGCGGCACCGCCGACCUGGCGGCCUCCUCCUCCUGCGACCCCGAGGAGGCGGCGGCGGAGCCCCGCGGAGAAGCGGCGGCCCCGCCGACCCCCGCCGUGCCCGUGGACUGCACGGACGAGGCCGGGAACACGGGGCUGCAGUUCGCCGCGGCGGGCGGGCACGAGCAGCUAGUGCGGUUCCUGCUGCGGAAGGGCGCCUCGGUACAGAGCAGGAACCACUACGGAUGGAGCCCCCUCAUGCAAGCGGCCAGGUUUGGACAUCUAAGUGUGGCCCACAUCUUGCUGGAAAAUGGUGCUGAUCUCAAUGCACAGAAUAAGUUAGGAGCCAGUGUCCUCACAAUGGCCUCCAGAGGUGGCCAUGUCAGCAUGGUGAAGUUGUUACUGGAAUCCGGAGCUUUUGUAGACAAUUACGACCAUUUCGGCACAAGUGUACUUAACAACAGCAGAGACGACCUUCCCGAUAUCACCCCAUUAAUGGCAGCUGCUCAGCAUGGACAUGAGGCAGUGGUACAUCUGUUAUUAGACUGGGGAGCUGAUUGUAAUUACACUGUGAAGACGAUGGGCUGGAGUCCUUUAAUGCUGGCAGCCGUUAGUGGAAAGGUGAGCUUGGCACAGCAGCUCAUGGAGAAAGGUGCCAAUCCCGAUCACCUGAAUGUACUACAUAAAACACCUUUUGAAAUCUCUGUUGGCUUCAAACACAAAGACAUGAAGGACUACUUGGAAUCUCUCACAACGAUCAGACCUCAGGCAGAUACAGAAAAGAAGCAACCUGAUGUCUUUCAUGCUUUGAAACUGGGAAACUUCCAGCUGGUUAAAGAGAUUGUUGAUGAAGACCCAAGUCAGGUCAAUAUUACCAAUGUUGACGGUGCAUCUCCAUUAAUGAUUGCAGCUGUAACUGGACAGCUACCCCUUGUUCAGCUCCUUGUUGAGAAAAAUGCUGACGUUGAUAAACAGGAUAAUGUUCAUGGCUGGACAGCACUGAUGCAGGCCACAUACCAUGGAAACAAAAACGUUGUAAAGUAUUUGUUAAAUCAAGGAGCGGACGUCAAUCUUCGUGCAAAAAACGGAUACACGGCUUUUGACCUCAUAAUGCUGCUGAAUGAUCCAGAUACAGAGCUUGUAAGACUACUGGCGUCAGCAUGCAUGCAAGUAGACAAAGACAAGAAUAAACUGAACAACAGAUCAUCUUUGCCUACUUCCAGAAGUAGGCAAUCCUUAAAUGUCCCAAUGUUGCCAGAUGAUAAAGGAGGUCUAAAGUCUUGGUGGAGCAGGAUGUCCAAUCGAUUCCGCAAGCUGAAACUGACUCAGACAUUGCGCCACGGAUUUCCUUCCAAUCCGUUUGUGCCUUUUCCGGAUGAGCCUGAACCGUCAUUAAAUUCCACUAUAAAAGCAGUUUCACAGAGUGAUACGGAUGCCUCUGGAAACCUUGAUGCUGCUACAGCUCGGAUCACAAAUAACAAAGCUAGUGGUGCAAACACUACAAAAGGAGGAAAGGAUGAUGAAUUAUUGACAACCAUGUUGAGAAGUAGUGCCCCAUUUACCAGGCUGCCAAGCGAUAAGCUGAAGGCAGUGAUACCACCUUUCUUACCCCCCUCGAGCUUUGAGCUCUGGAAUUCUGACCGAACACGACUCAGCAAAGAUGGAAAAGCUGAACAGAUGAGAACUGCCUGGCCACAGAGAGCAAUCAAGCAUGAUUUUAACAGCAGCGGAAACUCUGAUAUAACAUCUGUUAGCAAAGGUACUAGACCAGUCAAAUUACCAACAUUUGCAAGAAGACCAGCAUCUCCUUCAAAUUCCAACAACUUCAGUCAUUCUCCUCAUUCUUCUGGUGGAUCCAAUAACAUUGCAGGAAUUAACAGGCAUGGAGGAGAACUGCAUAACAGAUCAGGUGGCAGUGCAGAUAAUGUUUUGUCUCAGAUUGCGGCCCAAAGAAGAAAAGCAGCAGGCUUUCCUGAACAGAAACCCAGCCAACAGCACAGUCCAGUCCAGUCAACUACUUCAUCCACUCCAUCUGAGUUGCAGUGUGCUCAGGUUGUUGGCAAUGGACAUGUAAAGCAAAAGCUGGAGAUGAACAAAAGACCUCCAUCUGGGACUUCAUCUACGUCUAAAAGCACAUCACCAACUCUCACACCUUCCCCAUCACCUUCCCCAUCUCCUAAGGUUCAAAACGCAGAGUCAUCUCUGUCUUCUUCUCACAGACAGGCCAAAAGUAACGGUUCCAGCAGUGGUACUAUUACAGAAGAUGGCAACCACUCGGUGGACCAUCAACAGCUUGUCUCUAUUCUGAGAACCAGUGAUGUAGAGAAUCAUGAAAGACGAAACCAUGUGAGAGUAAAAGGAGGCUCUGAAAACUUGGAGAAAGAUGAGCUGACUGGCAUCCUUAAAAAAUUGUCUCUUGAGAAAUAUCAGCCUAUUUUUGAGGAACAAGAGGUGGAUAUGGAAGCUUUCCUUACACUUACUGACGGUGAUCUGAAAGAGCUUGGUAUUAAAACAGAUGGAUCAAGGCAGCAAAUUCUGGCAGCUAUUUCUGAACUGAAUGCAGGAAAGGGUCGAGAGAGACAGAUUUUACAAGAAACUAUACACAACUUCCACUCUUCCUUUGAGAGCAGUGUUAGUAACACACGACCACCAGGUCAUUCCCAAUCUUACUUCCCAUUCUCAGAGUAGUCAGCAUGUGUGGGAGCUUCUGGAUGUCUCUUGAUAUCAUCCUAGACUUGAAGAGCCUCUUCUGUAGGUACCAUUGGGUGAGCAAAAGCUGCCAUUUGGGAUGGUGUAAUGAACUGGAAUUACUCGAGAACCGAAGAAGGAUAGAGAUGUAACAAGUCUCCAAGCAACUUGCUGAGCCUAACCACUGAGCUUGAAUGUGUCUUGAAGACAGCAAAGGACAGUAAUGGUGGCACAGAGUUGGGGACAACAUCCUUUUGUAAGAAUGGAAGCAACAGUUGCUACUGCUAACCAUUUGACAGGAUGCUGCAAGGAGGCUGCCGUGAGAGAUGUAGCUUUUGGGGUUUUGUGUAUGAGAGCUCCAUGAUACAGAUUUGGCUGUGAAAUAGCAACAGAAGCACUAACAGAGAAGGCAGAGAGCAUGUAGAUAAAAGAAGUUUCUGCACCAGCACCCGGCUGCUCUUUAAAACCACAAGAAGCUGUUUCUCCUAAAAGGUAGCAACAAAAGAUUUUUUUCUUAUCUUGAAGUUUGGCAUCUAACUAAGUAAAUCCAAGCGUACAA